GGUUGGCCACAGGCGACGACGGGUAGCCGGCCUGAGAGGGUGACCGGCCACACUGGGACUGAGACACGGCCCAGACUCCUACGGGAGGCAGCAGUGGGGAAUAUUGCACAAUGGGCGCAAGCCUGAUGCAGCGACGCCGCGUGAGGGAUGACGGCCUUCGGGUUGUAAACCUCUUUCAGUAGGGAAGAAGCGAAAGUGACGGUACCUGCAGAAGAAGCACCGGCUAACUACGUGCAGGCAGCCGCGGG
rnacentral:rRNA from 1 species